rnacentral:rRNA from 1 species
AAAAGUACUUUGAAAAGAGAGUGCAAGAGAACGUGAAACCGGUAUAAUGGAAGCAUAUGGAGUUGACGUAUCUGAGUGUUUGUUCAGUUUGUUGUUGGUUGUGUUGGGUUGGAUAAGGUUUGAGAAAUCUGCCUGUCUGAUUCAUUCAUGAUUUUCAAUGAAUGCAUUCAAGCAUGGAGUGUGCCGAAUAGUGUGAUGAUGUCUGUGGAAAUGAAUAAAGUAACGCAAGUUUUUGUUCAAGGAAGCAGGUUGUUGUUACAUUGAAAGUAUGUUGUUUGUGAUUCAGUUCAGCGCUUGUGGUUAUUUGGUUCGUUCACAUGUGAAUUGAUCUUACGAUUGCGAGUGUUUUGCUGGAUUUCCCAAAUACUGAUUCGGUAUCAUAGUCAAUGACCCAUUUGACCCGUCUUGAAACACGGACCAAGGAGUGUAACGUUAGCGCGAGUUAUUGAAUCUAAGAAAUUCAAAAGCGUAAUGAAAGUGAGACCCGUAGAUCGGUCAUGGUGUGAUGUUGUUCGUAUUCGUAUGAAGAAUAGCAACACGGGCUCACGUCGAGGACUUGUCCCUGAUGUGACGCUUGAGCGUUAGCGUUGCGACCCGAAAGAUGGUGAACUGUGAUUGAACAGGAUGAAGCCAGAGGAAACUCUGGUGGAAGUCCCAAGCGGUUCUGACCUGCAAAUCCAUCCUCUGAUUUGAUUACAGGGGCCAAAGACUAAUCCAACCAUC